rnacentral:rRNA from 1 species
UGGGGAAUCUUGCGCAAUGGGGGGAACCCUGAUGCAGCCAUGCCGCGUGUGUGAAGAAGGCCUUCGGGUUGUAAAGCACUUUCAGGUGUGAGGAAAGGUGUGUGGUUAAUACCCGCAUACUGUGACGUUAACACCAGAAGAAGCACCGGCUAACUCCGUGCCAGCAGCCGCGGUAAUACGGAGGGUGCGAGCGUUAAUCGGAAUUACUGGGCGUAAAGCGCACGCAGGCGGUUUGUUAAGCUAGAUGUGAAAGCCCCGGGCUCAACCUGGGAUGGUCAUUUAGAACUGGCAGACUAGAGUCUUGGAGAGGGGAGUGGAAUUCCAGGUGUAGCGGUGAAAUGCGUAGAUAUCUGGAGGAACAUCAGUGGCGAAGGCGACUCCCUGGCCAAAGACUGACGCUCAUGUGCGAAAGUGUGGGUAGCGAACAGGAUUAGAUACCCGGGUAGUCC